AUGGCCACAUUAUGUUGAAACACUUGUUCCCAUAUGAUCACCAAACUUAAGCAACUUCAAGCCUGGUCAGUACCUAGAUGGGCGACUGUUUAGAAAUACCAGGUACUGUAAG